rnacentral:rRNA from 1 species
GGGUUGUGAGGUUAAGCGACUAAGCGUACACGGUGGAUGCCCUGGCAGUCAGAGGCGAUGAAGGACGUGCUAAUCUGCGAUAAGCGUCGGUAAGGUGAUAUGAACCGUUAUAACCGGCGAUUUCCGAAUGGGGAAACCCAGUGUGAUUCGUCACACUAUCAUUAACUGAAUCCAUAGGUUAAUGAGGCGAACCGGGAGAACUGAAACAUCUAAGUACCCCGAGGAAAAGAAAUCAACCGAGAUUCCCCCAGUAGCGGCGAGCGAACGGGGAGCAGCCCAGAGCCUGAAUCAGUGUGUGUGUUAGUGGAAGCGUCUGGAAAGGCGCGCGAUACAGGGUGACAGCCCCGUACACAAAAAUGCACAUACUGUGAGCUCGAUGAGUAGGGCGGGACACGUGGUAUCCUGUCUGAAUAUGGGGGGACCAUCCUCCAAGGCUAAAUACUCCUGACUGACCGAUAGUGAACCAGUACCGUGAGGGAAAGGCGAAAAGAA